rnacentral:rRNA from 1 species
AGUCGAACGCAACCUUCGGGUUGAGUGGCGGACGGGUGAGUAACGCGUGAGAAUCUGCCUUGGGGUCGGGGACAACCACUGGAAACGGUGGCUAAUACCGGAUAAGCCUUUGGGUAAAAGAUUUAUUGCCCCAAGAGGAGCUCGCGUCUGAUUAGCUAGUUGGUGAGGUAAGAGCUCACCAAGGCAGCGAUCAGUAGCUGGUCUGAGAGGACGAUCAGCCACACUGGGACUGAGACACGGCCCAGACUCCUACGGGAGGCAGCAGUGGGGAAUUUUCCGCAAUGGGCGAAASCUGACGGAGCAARACCGCGUGAGGGAGGAAGGCUCUUGGGUUGUAAACCUCUUUUCUCAGGGAAGAAGCUCUGACGGUACCUGAGGAAUCAGCCUCGGCUAACUCCGUGCCAGCAGCCGCGGUAAUACGGAGGAGGCAAGCGUUAUCCGGAAUUAUUGGGCGUAAAGCGUCCGCAGUGGGCGAUUCAAGUCUGCUGUCAAAGCACGGGGCUUAACUCCGUURAGGCAGUGGRRACUGAAUAGCUAGAGUGCCGURGGCGUAGAGGGAAUUCCCSGUGUARCGGUGAAAUKCGUARAGAUSCGGGAGAACAUC